CAUGCAAGUCGAACGAUGAAGCCCAGCUUGCUGGGUGGAUUAGUGGCGAACGGGUGAGUAACACGUGAGUAACCUGCCCCCGACUUUGGGAUAAGCCCGGGAAACUGGGUCUAAUACCGGAUAUGACUUCCCGCCGCAUGGUGGGUUGUUGAAAGAUUUAUCGGUGGGGGAUGGACUCGCGGCCUAUCAGCUUGUUGGUGAGGUAAUGGCUCACCAAGGCGACGACGGGUAGCCGGCCUGAGAGGGUGACCGGCCACACUGGGACUGAGACACGGCCCAGACUCCUACGGGAGGCAGCAGUGGGGAAUAUUGCACAAUGGGCGGAAGCCUGAUGCAGCGACGCCGCGUGAGGGAUGACGGCCUUCGGGUUGUAAACCUCUUUCAGUAGGGAAGAAGCGAAAGUGACGGUACCUGCAGAAGAAGCGCCGGCUAACUACGUGCCAGCAGCCGCGGUAAUACGUAGGGCGCAAGCGUUAUCCGGAUUUAUUGGGCGUAAAGAGCUCGUAGGCGGUUUGUCGCGUCUGCCGUGAAAGUCCGAGGCUCAACCUCGGAUCUGCGGUGGGUACGGGCAGACUAGAGUGAUGUAGGGGAGACUGGAAUUCCUGGUGUAGCGGUGAAAUGCGCAGAUAUCAGGAGGAACACCGAUGGCGAAGGCAGGUCUCUGGGCAUUUACUGACGCUGAGGAGCGAAAGCAUGGGGAGCGAACAGGAUUAGAUACCCUGGUAGUCCAUGCCGUAAACGUUGGGCACUAGGUGUGGGGGACAUUCCACGUUUUCCGCGCCGUAGCUAACGC
rnacentral:rRNA from 2 species